rnacentral:lncRNA from 1 species
GCCACAGGGAGUACAACGGCCCCGAGGAGCUUCUCAAUCCACUCAAGUUGGCAAGAUUACCCAUCAGAGUGUGUCGCUGAAAACAGAGGAGAUUGAAAUCAACAGCUGAUCUGGGUGAGGAAGCCAGGCAUGCGCACAACCAGAAAGCGCGCAUUCCAAGCAAGUGCAGCGCCCCUGAGGUGGCAAGGCUGCUGCUGAAUGGGUUGAAGUAUAGAAAAGAGGCCAUGCAGGCUGCCAAAGGGACAUUCCAGCAACAGAAAGCGGAAUAAGACAUCUACAAAAGAGGUCAUACCACUGAUGCCAGCAUCAAUAAGACCAUUACAUGGGCUGGAGAGAUGGCUCAGCGGUUAAGAGUGCCAACUGCUCUUCUGAAGGUCGUGAGUUCAAAUCCCAGCAACCACAUGAUGGCUCACAAUCAUCCGUAAUGAGAUCUGACGCCCUCUUCUGGGGUGUCUGAAGACAGCUACAGCGAGAGAGCGGAGCCAGAGUGAGAAGAAAAAGUCUGAAG